rnacentral:rRNA from 1 species
UGGGGAAUAUUGCACAAUGGGGGCAACCCUGAUCCAGCCAUGCCGCGUGAGUGAUGAAGGCCUUAGGGUCGUAAAGCUCUUUCGCCUGUGAAGAUAAUGACGGUAGCAGGUAAAGAAACCCCGGCUAACUCCGUGCCAGCAGCCGCGGUAAUACGGAGGGGGUUAGCGUUGUUCGGAAUUACUGGGCGUAAAGCGCACGUAGGCGGACCAGAAAGUUGGGGGUGAAAUCCCGGGGGCUCAACCCCGGAACUGCCUCCAAAACUAUUGGUCUAGAGUUCGAGAGAGGUGAGUGGAAUUCCAAGUGUAGAGGUGAAAUUCGUAGAUAUUUGGAGGAACACCAGUGGCGAAGGCGGCUCACUGGCUCGAUACUGACGCUGAGGUGCGAAAGUGUGGGGAGCAAACAGGAUUAGAUACCCUGGUAGUCCACACCGUAAAACGAUGAAUGCCAGUCGUCGGGUAGCAUGCUAUUCGGUGACACACCUAACGGAUUAAGCAUUCCGCCUGGGGAGUACGGUCGCAAGAUUAAAACUC